rnacentral:sRNA from 1 species
UCAAUAUCAGUGUAGCUACUUUCUAGAG